rnacentral:rRNA from 1 species
CCUACGGGUGGCAGCAGUGAGGAAUAUUGGUCAAUGGUCGGGCGACUGAACCAGCCAAGCCGCGUGAGGGAUGAAGGUACAGAGUAUCGUAAACCUCUUUUGUCAGGGAACAAAGGCGGGGACGUGUCCCCGGACGAGUGUACCUGAAGAAAAAGCAUCGGCUAACUCCGUGCCAGCAGCCGCGGUAAUACGGAGGAUGCGAGAGUUAACCGGAUUUAUUGGGUUUAAAGGGUGCGCAGGGGGUAUGUUAAGUCAGCGGUAAAAGCCCGGGGCUCAACCCGGGCCCGCCGUUGAAACUGGCAGUCUCGAGUUGGAGAGAAGUAUGCGGAAUGCGCGGUGUAGCGGUGGAAUGUAUAGAUAUCGCGCAGAACUCCGAUUGCGAAGGCAGCAUGCCGGCUCCACACUGACGCUGAGGCACGAAAGCGUGGGUAUCGAACAGGAUUAGAUACCCUAGUAGUC